rnacentral:tRNA from 1 species
GUAGUGGUGGUUUGGUGGCAUAAUUCUUACCUUCCACGUGGGAGACCCAGGUUCAAUUCCUGGCCAAUGCA